UACGAAGGGUGCUAGCGUUGUUCGGAAUCAUUGGGCGUAAAGCGUGCGUAGGCGGUUUAGUAAGUCGACUGUGAAAGCCCAGAGCUUAACUUUGGAAUUGCAUUCGAAACUAUUAAACUAGAGUGUGGCGGGGGAUAGUGGAAUUCUUAGUGUAGGGGUGAAAUCCGUAGAUAUUAAGAGGAACACCGGUGGCGAAGGCGACUAAUCUACACCAUUACUGACGCUGAGACGCGAAAGCGUGGGGAGCAAACAGG
rnacentral:rRNA from 1 species